GCGAAUAUUCAAUUUGGAAUGCGAUUUUGUUAAUAAAAAAAAUACUUAUAACUUAUGCAAAACCCAAGAGAGGCAUUUAUAUUUAUUUCUUUUGCGUUCAUUUUCAAAUUCGCCGUGCAUAUAUUUUUGUGCAUGGCGCUUGAGAGGGCAUCACGUGACUAAAAACGACCAACCAACGACCUCGCUUCGGCCAUCUUGGCAUCUUCAUCUUGGCCACCUUGCUUUGCCGUGGGUGGAUCGUUGUUUGUGCUUUUUAAGAAUAUUUUUUUAAUUCGGAUACUUUUAUAAUAGCUUUAAUAGUAUUAUUAACAUAGUGAAUAAAAUGGUGUCCUGUUUUUAACGCAGUUGGAGUAGCAGAAACAAAUGUAGAUAAAAAAAUCUGCAGGAAUAACGUUUCAAUUAUGACAGAAGCUCCAAACAAAUGACUGUGAAUGAAAAGCCCUAUUAAAAGCUUUCCAGAAGAUCCUGCGAAGAAGACAUGAAGUAUAGAUCAGAUUUGUUAAUAGAGGAGUAUGUUCAAAACACUUUUUAGAAAAAGAUAUUGACAGAACUUCACUUUCAUCUGUUCGUUUAAGAGACUGUGCUGUUCCAAUAGCUUAUGUCACACAGAAUCAGCUGAGAGAAGUGGUCUACAAAAAACCAGAAAGGAAACAGAAUAUGUGGCUACGAAAAGCAAAAGAAAGGUUUACAAAGCAAAUGUGACACAUUUUUUUAUAAUAUUUAGGAAUGUCAGUAAAUUACAUUAAAAAAUGUAUGUAAAGAUUUUUUGCAAUAAAAAUGUUUAUAUUUA